AUAUGGUGAGAUCGUGCAUACUGUAUCAGUCUGUCUCGACCUGGGAAAAUAAUGCUUUUAGCAACUAUGACGGCUAACAGAGGUGGGCUCGGUCCUCUGUCCUUAUCCCCGCCAUGCUGUUGUCUCUCUAUCUCUCUCUCUCUCUCUCUCUCUCUCUCUCUCUCUCUCUCUCUCUCUCUCUCUCGCUCUCUCUCUCUUCUUCUCUCUCUCUCUCCUAUCUCUAGGCGCGUGUGUACUAUGGGGUUCUGUAGUAAAAUGUCCAGAGGGCAAGCAGUAAUCAUGGGGUGAGGCUAAUGUCAGAGCGGCAUCAAAGACCCUUAACUGGAUACGUACGUUAAACCCACUCUGAAAUCCAGGGCAUGUUGACUCCUGCGUCCCUCUCGUUCAGUUUUUCCACUCUGACUGUUGCCUGUAUUUGCAUAGCCAUGCGGAAAAGAAAGCUCAACGAAUGUGCUUACCCAUCCGAGAAGGAAGAACAAGCUCCAUGGAGUCCCCUAACCUGGAGUUUGAGUAUGGGGACACAGACAGCCUGACCACUGAACUCUCAGAGAUAUACAGUUACACGGAGGAGCCCGAGUUCACCCUCAACAGGGACUACUUUGAGGAGGAUUUCAGGAGCCAUGUGCGGGGAAGGAGGUGGAUUGAGCUGGGUCAGGAGCAGCAGAAGGCCUAUGUGAUGAGACUACUAGAUGCUCUGGAGGUCACUGACCGGGACAAGAGGCUGAAGGUGGCCCGGGCCAUCCUCUACCUGGCACAGGGGGUGUUUGACGAGUGUGACACGGACGCGGACGUGAUCCACUGGUCUCGCCACAACGUGUUCCUGCUGUAUGACAUGGGCAUCUUCACCGCUCUCCUGGAGCUGCUGAGCAUGGAGAUGGAUAACAACCAAGCCUGCAGCAGCGCAGUGAGGAAACCUGCUAUCUCUCUGGCGGACAGCACAGAACUCAGGGUCUUGCUAAGCAUCAUGUACCUGAUGGUGGAGACCAUCCGUCUGCAGACAGAGGAUGACAGACCAGAGUGGAGAACUGCCAGAGAGGCCUUCAAGACUGAACUGGGUUCUCCUCUGUACAACGGAGAGCCAUUCGCCCUGCUGCUCUUCACCAUGGUGACCAAGUUCUGCAGUAUGAACGCUCCACACUUUCCCAUGAAGAAGGUCCUGCUCCUGCUCUGGAAGACCAUCCUGUUCACCAUGGGGGGCUUUGAGGAGCUCCAGGAGAUGAAGGUUCGAGGCAGAGAGAGGCUGAGCCUGCCCCCCCUGCCUGAGGACAGCAUCAAGGUGGUCCGGAGCAUGAGGGCAGCCUCUCCUCCAGCCUCGGCAAUGGAGCUCAUCGAGCAGCAACAGCAGGCCAAGAGAGGACGCCGCAGCCGCAGGCCCCUGGUAAAGCAGGACAGCCUAGACACGUACAACGAGCGAGACCCCUUUAAGAACGACGAUGCACGAGACGAGGAGGAGGACGGCGAGGAAGCCGACAGUGGCAUCGAGGGCGAGGUGGACCCCCUGGACAGUGAUGUCAUCAUCCAGCCACCACCCCCACCGCCCCCGCUCAGACCCCCCACUGAGAGAGCAUCCCUCCCCAAGGGUCUGCCCUGGGCCCCCAAAGUCAGAGAGAAAGACAUCGAGCAGUUCUUGGAGACCAGCAGGAUCAAGUUCAUCGGCUUCACUCUGGGAAAUGACACAGAGACACUAGUCGGUCUUCCUAGACCCAUACACGAGAGUGUGAAGACCCUUAAACAGCACAAAUAUGUCUCUAUAGCCGAGAUGCAGAUCAAGAGGGAAGAGGAGCUUCAACAGUGCCCCAUGACCCUGGGAGAAGAGGAUGUGGAUGAGACUCCCACAGAGAUCCUGUAUCUGGGAAUGCUUCCUAACCUGUCUCAGUAUGUGAUUGCCCUUCUGAAGCUGCUGCUGGCUGCAGCACCUACCUCCAAGGCCAAGACUGACUCCAUCAAUAUACUGGCUGAUGUGCUGCCAGAGGAGAUGCCAAUCACGGUCCUCCAGAGCAUGAAGCUGGGUAUUGAUGUGAACAGACACAAGGAGAUCAUUGUCAAGGCCAUCUCUGCACUUCUGCUCCUGCUGCUCAAGCACCUGAAACUCAAUCACAUCUACCAAUUUGAGAUUGUCUCUCAACACCUGGUGUUCGCUAACUGCAUCCCACUCAUCCUCAAGUUCUUCAACCAGAACAUCCUGUCUUACAUCAGUGCCAAAAACAGUAUAUGUGUGCUGGACUUCCCUCACUGUGUGGUCCACGAGAUGCCUGAGCUCACGGCUGAGAGCUUGGAAGCUGGAGACCGUAAUCAGUUCUGCUGGCGUAAUCUCUUCUCCUGCAUCAACCUGCUGAGGAUCCUCAACAAGCUGACUAAGUGGAAACACUCCAGGACCAUGAUGCUGGUGGUUUUCAAGUCUGCUCCCAUCCUGAAGAGGGCGCUGAAGGUCAAACAGGCCAUGAUGCAGCUGUAUGUCCUCAAGCUGCUCAAGAUCCAGACCAAGUACCUGGGCCGCCAGUGGAGGAAGAGCAACAUGAAGACCAUGUCAGCCAUCUACCAGAAAGUACGACACAGGCUCAACGACGACUGGGCCUAUGGCAACGAUAUCGACGCGCGGCCGUGGGACUUCCAGGCGGAGGAGUGCGCCCUGAGGGAGAGCAUCGAGAAGUUCAACAGCCGUCGCUACGACAAGAACCAGAACGGCGAGUUCGCCCCGGUGGACAACUGCCUGCAAAGCGUUCUGGGCCAGCGUGUUGAGCUGCCGGAGGACUUCCACUACAGCUAUGAAAUGUGGCUGGAGAGAGAGGUGUUUUCACAGCCUAUCCAAUGGGAGGGUCUACUACAACAGGCCCAAUGAGCGGGGAGGACACGCAUACCAGGGACACAAGCCUACGACUACUGUGAUCUUCAUGUAAAUAUGUGGCGCAAAUAGAACAUCUGUUUUGUAAUCACCUGUAUCCAUGCAGAAAUUGUACAGUAAUGGUAUAGACAGUAAUAAUGAUGUCAUGGCAACUUGGCAGGAGCAGGCUCUUACAGUACAACUAUGUGGAAUACUGUGAUUAUUCUGUUAGCGGUUGGAUUAGUUGUCGUGACUAUGUCCACUAUAACUAUAACCGCCAGUACAUUUUUUUCUCACUCAAUUUGGUUCGCUUCUGUUUUUUGUGGAAUAAUGAAUUUUAUAUCCAUGGCAUGUCCUCUUUUUUUUUUAUCAUGAAGAUGCACAUUUGAAGUACUGGCACUGUUUAGUUUAUGUUGUAAUGUUUUACAUGUGUAUUUAUUCAUGAUCACAGCCAUUUAUGUUUCGGUAUGUAAAUCUCAUAGCUGCAGAUGAUAUUGUCGUUGAUAUUUCUAGAAAAAAAAUGCCUAUUUGUAAAGAAAGUACUGUGUAUUAACAGGCUAACGAUGAAGUACCUUACUGUGAUUGUUUUCAAUGAAAAUAGCAAAGAGGAAUUUCUCAAGCAAGAAUUUAGCCAGGACUGUCUGGAGUUGGUCUGGGUAGGGAGGGGGGAAAUGAGCUGUUAUUGGUAGACGGGUUUUGAACUAAUUUAUCCCACCUGUGGAUGUCACCAGGCAGACCAAAACUCCAUCCUACCAAAACAGGAAGAUACAGCUGUUACAUUUAAAGAGCAUUAUCAUAAUGUUCACAAUUUCACAGUAUUAUUCCAACCUCCGUGUGGAAAUAUAUAUAUAACACAGGAAAAUAACAUUUCCCCUUUCUAGAUGAAUAGUAAUUUGUGUAAUCACAAACAGAUAUUCCUGUAAGUCAUUGAUUAUCAACUAGAUUCAGCUGCGGGAUGAUUUUUUUAAAAGACUUCUUCAGCGGAUGGUCAGGGUGCCGAAACACAAUUACAAAUCAUUUGUAGACAUAAAAAAAAACCCAGAUAUAAUAUUUUACCAAGCUAAACGUGCUUACAUUUGUAUACGAUCAAAUCUCUCUAUUAUGCGUGGGAAUACUUGGCAAACCGAUUUCCAAAAUUAAAAUCACUUUGACCUGAUUUCCUGGUGUUUUUCAUGUCUAACAAUGAGGAAAAAAAUAACUUGGAGGGGCAAAUAAAAUCUCCCGCUGUCCAAAUUCGGCCCA
rnacentral:lncRNA from 1 species